GCUUGGGGGAGGGGGGGACAAAGUUGGGAAUUGCAGGGAGGGGUUUUAAAGUCAAGAGCUGGGGAGAGGGCUGUCUGGGAACUGUCCCUUUGGGCAGGUAAAGGCAGUGGGUUACUCUUCAGCGUGAUGUCAGCGUGUGCCAGGCAGGGCAGCUCCAGCCUGUGUGUGUCAUGGUGUAGUUUGUGUGGUCUGUUGUCUUUUGUGUCUCAAACCCUCCUUGGGUCCCAGUCUCCUCUUUGUGCUCCAGGAGCACAGCACUCAUCUUGCAGCCCGUCCUUAGGUCUUGAGCAUCAUCUGUGCUCACCCUCAUAGUGCCCAUGGGGCGCUGCUUUUCUUACCUGAACUCAAAAGCCCAGCUGGGCCUCGUGACUCGGGUGUCUCCUCUUGAUCCUCUUUUUGCGCCGGUGUUGCUGUCGGUGUCGUCAGCCCCGCUCUGGAGGCUUCUCUUUCACAGGGAGAAUCUCUUUUUUCUGGACAUUCUUCCCUGUGUCCUUGCAUUCUUGGGUCUUGCCAAGGCUUCUCGUGCAUUCGUGUGUUUCGGUUCUGACUGUAGCUUCUUGUCAUGGUUUGCCAUGUCUGACCUUUCUCUGAGGCUGCCUUACGGGCUCCUUGCUGCUGAAAUCACAAGUGAAUUGAGUAUAGGAAUAUUGGGACUAAUGUGUUAAUUAAAGGGAUAUCAGUUCAAAUUACAUGCCUGUUAAAAACUUGUGCAAACUGACCACUGCUUGACCUAAGUGACUUGACUUUGGACUGGACUCGUGACUUGACUUAGCCUGAGUAUCUGGAGUGAUGAGGCCUUAGGCUGCGAUUCUAAUUAAUCUUUAGCUGAACUCCUGUGAUGAGCCUUAGUUAGACCUUGACUCUACCAGCUGUAAUAAUAUGGAAACAAGAUGUGGACAAGAUAAUUACUCAAGACAACCUUCUGAACUGGGAAGAUGCAUUGACUGAAAGUUAAGUGGGAGCAAUUGGACAAAAGCAGAAUGUGGGAGACUUUUCCAGCUGAGAAACAAGUGGAAGAGAACAAGACUGGAAGCACCCAGCUCGAGCUGCAGUAAACUGAUUCUGUGGCAGAACUGAGGGUCUGAGCUUCUCUCUCAGGUUGGAGGUGAAGACUGGAUCCAGCUGCACCUAGGCUCUGCCCUGAGAAGAAGCUGAGAAACCAAGGAGGUCCUGUCUGAAGCUCACAACUCGAAAGGAGGGACUUUCUGGACUCUUCAACGCUCAUCUCAUGCUUGCGGUCCUGUAUGUCUUGCCACCUGGUGGCAUCUGCGUUGGAGGAGGAGGUUUUUUGUUGCUGAGAGUUUCCUCUCAUGCUUGUGUCACAUCCUUUGUGUUUGUGUGUUGUGUCUCUGUGCUGUUGGGUUGGAGCUGCUCUCUCUGGAGGCUGUAGCAGCUGUGGGGUUGGGAGAAGAAUAGCAACGAGAGCCUGUGGUUUGUGUUGCUGUGCUGUCUGUGCCUGUUGGGGUGCAGAUGGAGCAUUUGAAGUGAAGUAGCAGCCCUCAGCAGGGGAGGGUGGUCAUUUUCAUAGUGUUUUUAACAGGGGGUGGCUGGAGCCACCUGGGAGAGGCUGCUGGAGCCAUAGCCAAUCAGGUUGGGUGUCCAGGUUGUUACGGCCUGAAUGUGUGGGGCGUAAUGUUAGCUUGUUUUUUAGCUUUCCUGUAGGUAGUUAGGAUCUCGAAGAUGUUCCUAAAUGGGAAUCUCUGGAAUUGCAUCCAGCUGAUUUGCUUGUUACUGCUUUUUCAUAUGCAGGGAGAGGAGCCACGCAGCAGAGGGUGGUGGAGGAGAGGAGCAGAGCACAGUGAGGAGCUGGGUCGGUGCGUAUUGAAGAGCCUGGGUGCAAAGCACCGAGGGAAGCGGGAGAUCUGCACUGGAGGUGACUCGAGCAAGGCAGCACACAGGGCUGGAUGUGGCAACCUGUGACCAUCAGAGGCUGGACAGGUGAGCCACGAAGUUUUGCAGCCUUGGAGCAGUGGAGCAGCAUGCCAACGGGCCAUCUGUGGAGAUGACACAGGCGUCAGCCAGAUACUACAAGCAAGGAUGGCCUCAGCAUCCGUCUGAUUCUGGAACCGGCAGAUCACUAUGGCAGGAACAUCCCGGGAAGGACGGCUUGUCGAGGAGGAAGGCUGCAGAGCCCUGGCCAUCUGAAAGCUAAGUGGAGGGGCUGGGAGGAGGGGACAAGGUUGGGGAUUGGAGGGGGGGGUUUCAAAGUUGGUGUAGGGGAGAGGGCUGGCAGGGCACAGUCCCCUUGGGGCAGGCAAAGGGAGCAGGUUACUCUUCAGCACCAUGUCAGCGUGUACAGGGCAGGGCAGCUCCAACCUGUGUCUGGCGUGUACUUUAUGUUGUUUGUUUUCCGUGUCUCAGACUGUAUGUUCUUUGGCUCUUGGUGCCUCCAUAGCUCGGUGACCAGCAGGCACCUUGGUAAUCCUCCCAAGAGUCCGGAAUGCAUCACUUCACUGGCACAGAGCCUGUUGAGCUCUUCUCAUCUCACAAUUACAGCUUGACGUGUGGAUCUCUUUGGCGUGUGUCACAUCCUGGCUGUUUCUGAGCGUUCAUCUCUUGCGGUGGCCAGCCAGGUGCUGCCCGCAUCUCUGCUCUUGAGUCUUCUGUUUCCAGAGUCAUUUUCUGGGGUUUUAUCCCCAUGUCCUCACUGGUCUUGGGUCUUCAAGCAUGGCUUCUCACACAUCCCUUAUUCUAGUUUUGAUGGCAGCUUUCUCUUGUGUGUGGCGGCAAUUGCCUCUCCUUGGCAGGUCUGCUUUAGAGCAUCUGUGCCAUCGUGGCACCGUAGGGCUUCUCUGCCGGCAUAAUCUUCCCUAUGGCAAUCUUUCACUGAGCAAGGACAAGAGACUUAUAGAAAGUUACAAAGGUCUUCUGAAAAAAAAGAUCCUGAUCUUGUUGAAACACGAAGAUGGGGAAGCACGUGCUUUGCUUAAAAUGUGGCAGAAUUGCCGAAGUUGCUGUAGCUGAGCGACCUCUGCUUGUGACAAAAUCAACAAUAUGGAAACCAGACCUUCAGCAUUUAGGCUGCCCACCUCCAACUGAAGACCUACCCACCGUGUGUCCUGUACCUCAAAAUCAGAGUGAGAAAUUCACUAACCAAUCUGAGUAGAGUAACUGUAUCUGUAUUAGGUGAAGGAAACUAACCACAAGUGCAUAAAUGUACAUAGCCUUGCUACUUCAGGGGGCAGCUUUGUGUCUAACCCCCUCUCGCCCUGUGUUUGCCUAAACGAAUGAAAUAAAUGAAAAUAUCUUGGCUCUGUAUGUAUUUGGCAUCUUGCAUACCAGGUGAAUGACCCCACUUUUGGUAUAACAAGGUAUAACACUCGCGGCAUCCGUGUGUAGUCCUGGUCUGUGUGUGAGGGUUGGAGCUGCCCUGCCCAGGGAUGCAGCAGUAUUGAUGACAGGGUAGCGUAGUUUUAUGGAGGGGUGGAAGUAAGUUGGUUUGGACCAAUUCUGUUGGCAGAGACCAUACGGUCCAUCUCUGGGCCAACAGGUGUAGGCAGCUGCCACAGUUGUGUUCGCUUUUCUUUACGGUCCGGGGCUAGGAUUGGAUCCAGCCACACGUAGGCUCCUCUGAGAGGAGUUGAGAAAGCAAGGGGGUCCAGUCUGAACUUUGUGACUGGUUGGGAGCAGCAGUUAGUGUGGAAGGGGAGGGGGUCAGAUCUGGAAGGUGCCUUAGCUUGCACAGAUGGGGCUCCCUAGCUGGCUUUUCUUCUUCUAGCUGUAGUGAGAAGGUAUAUGCAAAAGGCAGAGAGACCUCUGGCCUCACCAAGCUACCUGUGGCUGUGCAGGUGACUUGCUUUACAGGGUGUGUUUGUGUUGUUUCAGAUGCAGAGCAACAAGGAGCAAGGCCAAGGGCACGGAAGAGGGGAGCAGAGUGCCGGCUGAAGAAGGACAGGCAUCCAGUGCUGGAGUAUCGGCAGGACAGCGGGUGGCUCUGACAAGCUGGAGCUUAUCUGGCUGGAUUUUCUGGGUGCGAAUCCAAGUGUGAAGUGAGAUGUUAUCAGCAGAGCGGCCUCUGGCAAGGUGGUACACAAGCCCUCCUAGUCCCCUGGGGUCCCUGCCUGGAUGGUUCAGAAUGGCCUGGUGCUGCAAAUUGCAUUUCCUGAGACAAACAGCAGCUUGGCAGCUUGUGGUCAGGACUCCAGAGAGAUUUGGGAAGGCCCCAGAGCACCUUCUGCAUCCUCUCACAGUCAGCAUGAACUUGCUGGAGAAAUCCCAAGGCAGACUGACCAUGACACCUGAAGCAGAUACCAGCCACCGGUGUGUUCAGGUGCAUGAUCUGAGGUGUUAGUCUUUGAACUUGGACUGGAAGAUGCAGUUAAAAUACUCAUCUUUAUGCAGAAAGCAACCAGGGAAGACAUUCUUAAGUCAUCGCCUGACUUGGUUUAGUUCUCCAUGCAGAAAAACUCAUAGUUAAAAGGUAACUGAGUCCACAGAUGAGGCUCUGCAGGAAUGGUUCAAGAUGCAGCUUCUCCCAGCUCAGAUGCAUUACACAGACUUGCAGACUGCUGCUGAGGCUCAUCUGGACAGGUGGUGCUGUACUGUCUGAAAGACUGUGCCAGUGAAACAGCUGGUCGUUACUUGGCAGAUCUUUCUUCUUCACGGUGACAUCCUCAGAGUGAUCUGAUGAGGCAAAGCUAAAUUGUGUCUGUUGCCUGUUAAAAACAUGUCCCGGGAAGGAAAACUGCAGCAGGUAUCUCUGAGAGAAAUCUCAACAUAGAAUCACAAGUAGGUGAUAAGGGCAGCAAGAGCCGUGGCUCUCUUUUUGAGGACAGCGCAACAAUGCUCUCAGAAAUUACAGAUGUAGGAGCCUCUGGCAACUGGUUUAAAUGACGAAGAGGAUAUAUCAAGAAAUCUUCAACUGUUCUUUCUUAGAAGGACUAACAUCUCUCCAAGUAUCUCCAAGAUCUGAGCAAGGAGUAAUGCAGGCAGCGAAACAGAAGGUUUACCAGUCGGGAACCUAUUGA